rnacentral:misc_RNA from 1 species
UCUCCGUUGGUGAACCAGCGGAGGGAUCAUUACAGAGUUAUCCAACUCCCAAACCCAUGUGAACUUAUCUCUUUGUUGCCUCGGCGCAAGCUACCCGGGACCUCGCGCCCCGGGGGGCCCGCCGGCGGACAAACCAAACUCUGUUAUCUUCGUUGAUUAUCUGAGUGUCUUAUUUAAUAAGUCAAAACUUUCAACAACGGAUCUCUUGGUUCUG